AGAAAACAGAGAGGUGCGAGAGAGAAUGGGGUUAUCGUGCUUAGCUUGCUUUGAUGGAGGCAGCAAGCGACAGAGACAGGAAGAAGAUAGAUUGGCUGCUGCAGAAGCUCGUGCCAAAGCCGCCGAAGCUGCACAGAAAAGGCAAGAGGAAUUUGAAAAAUCUGCUGCUGGCAGAGCUGCACGGGCACAACUACAGGGCAUGGCAAAACAAUCUGCAAAUUCUAAUAAAGGCGAACCAGUUCUGAAGUGGCAAGUCGGUUGAGGUUAAGCCUGUUAUCAGUGCAGCAGAAUGUGUUAUUGUAAGUUGGAGAAAAUCUAUUGGUAUAGAAUUGAAACUAUUUAUGACGAUUGCUUGAUAUGUUCCAUUUUUCUCUAUUUUCUGCAGCAUGCAUCAUAAUUCAUAAACGUAUAUUAGCCCUGAUUAUGCCACUUUAACCUAAAAAUUCUCAGGAUCUGUUAUUUGCAUGAGAUUAAAUGGUCAUAAGAUGCCCCAUACAUUAGGAAUCAGAUUCUAGUGGUUUCUGACUUAUUUGAUAUUUGCAUCUGAUGAGAUCAGUUUCACGUCUAGGAAAAAUUUGUGUUUGGGAAAAUUAUGUUCAAACUUCCAGUUUCAUGAAAUGCUCCAUUCAUAUAAUUCCUAAACUAAGAUUUCGAUUAAUUACUAGUUUCAGUUAUACAAUAGCAGUUAACUUUUGAGCCACUUAACUUUCUGUGCUGUAUUUA